AAGAAGGUGUCGAUUUCUCUCUCUUUGAUCAAGCUAUAGUACCAGGUUCAAAAUCAAAGUUCUAGACAAGUAAUGUUUUUUUUUUUUUUUUUGUCAUCGGAUAAUAUUAAUAAGAAUAGUAGGAUACAAGGUGAACAACAACUUAAACCGACAGAAAACAAAAAUAUCUCCGGAGUCUAAAGGCCCACAAGAGGGAAACAAAACCGGCAAACAAUUAGAAAUUCCCGGAAACAUAACACGAAAGCAAAAAGGAAAGGAAACAAAGAGGAAACUUAAACCAUCUAAGAGGACGAACCCUUAUAAAAAAGACAAGGCAACUAGGCUUAACCCAAGGUAACACAUUACUCUAAAGAAGCAAGAAGAACUCUUCUUAUGAAGUCAUUUAGAAGAGAUUUAUCAAGGAUGCCCACGGCCAAUCCAACGAUAACAUCAACCACCUCCUAUCAAGAUGAGAGCCGAUCUCUCGAACCAUUACCAAAGACUUCAUAACCCGACAAGCAAGACUCGAAACUGCUUACGGAUGCGACGAUGGCGACAACAACGUCCAAAACCAUCUAGAAAGAUGCCCUUUAAACGCAAUCAGAUAAAACACAGAUCUACAAAGCAAAGACAAGGAGCGAAGCCUAACCUCUCGAAAACCCCGAGCUCAAACAAGCACGACGAAUGAUCGAGAUAGCUAGCAACCAAAGCGAACAACAACCAAGAGAAGAAUCAACUGCAAACAAACAAGGCUAACACAUCUUCAAACAAAACGAAGCUAAUGCUUAAAAAGGAAAUGAGCCAUAUGGAAGUCACAGGCUGGGAGAGAAGACCACUGGUGAGUGAAAAGGCAAAGGCUGAGCGAAUAAAACGCAAUCAUAGUCACACAACACUGACGGCUUCAAGACGAGAAGAUGCAAAUGAACGGUAACAAAACAAGGGAAG
rnacentral:lncRNA from 1 species